rnacentral:tRNA from 1 species
GAGGGUAUAGUUCAGUGGUAGAGUGUAUACUUAGCAAGCAUGAGGUUCUGGGUUCAAACCCCAGUACCACCC